UGAAUACGAGACGCUAAGGCGUCGAAGUAGUGUAUGUCAUACUUCCAAGAAAAGCUUGCACUGUCAUAAGUAAAAAAUGCCUGUACCAUAACCGACACAGGUGGGUAGGUAGAGUAUACUAAGGGGCGCGAGAUAACUCUCUCUAAGGAACUCGGCAAAAUAACUCCGUAACUUCGGGAGAAGGAGUACCUUAUUCUAUAAGGUUGCAAUAACAAGAUCCAAGCAACUGUUUAUCAAAAACACAGGUCUCCGCUAAGUCGUAAGACGAUGUAUGGGGGCUGACGCCUGCCCAGUGCCAGAAGGUUAAAGAAGUCGGUUAGCAUUAGCGAAGCUGGUAACUGAAGCCCUGGUGAACGGCGGCCGUAACGAUAACGGUCCUAAGGUAGCGAAAUUCCUUGUCGGGUAAGUUCCGACCCGCACGAAAGGCGUAAUGAUUUGGAUACUGUCUCGGAGAGGGGCUCGGUGAAAUAGACUUGUCUGUGAAGAUGCGGACUACCUGCACCAGGACAGAAAGACCCUAUGAAGCUUUACUGUAACUUGAAAUUGAAAUUGGACUUUAUUCGCGCAGUAUAGGUGGGAGGUGUUGAUUAUAAUCUUGCGGGAUUAUUGGAGCCAUCAGUGGGAUACCACUCUUGUAAUGUUAGAUUUCUAACUUUGAAUCAUUAUCUGGUCAAAGGACAGUUUCAGGCGGGCAGUUUGACUGGGGCGGUCGCCUCCCAAACGGUAACGGAGGCGUACAAAGGUUUCCUCUGAACGGGUAGAAAUCGUAUCUAGAGUGUAAAGGCAUAAGGAAGCUUGACUGUGAGACCUACAAGUCGAACAGGGACGAAAGUCGGUCUUAGUGAUCUGACGGUACUGAGUGGAAAGGCCGUCACUCAACGGAUAAAAGUUACUCUAAGGAUAACAGGCUGAUCUCCCCCAAGAGUUCACAUCGACGGGGAGGUUUGGCACCUCGAUGUCGGCUCAUCGCAUCCUGGGGCGGUAGUACGUCCCAAGGGUUGGGCUGUUCGCCCAUGAAAGCGGUACGCGAGCUGGGUUCAGAACGUCGUGAGACAGUUCGGUCCAUAUCCGGUGUAGGCGUUAGAAUAUUGAGAGGAGCCUUCUUUAGUACGAGAGGACCGAGAAGGACAUACCUCUGGUGUACCAGUUAUCGUGCCAACGGUAAACGCUGGGUAGCUAUGUAUGGAGUGGAUAACCGCUGAAAGCAUCUAAGUGGGAAGCCCACCUCAAGAUAAGUAUUCUCGU
rnacentral:rRNA from 1 species